rnacentral:rRNA from 1 species
UACGGGGGGGGCAAGCGUUAUUCGUCAUGACUGGGCGUAAAGGGUGCGUAGGCGGUUUGGUAAGUCUUAUGUGAAAUCUAUGGGCUCAACUCAUAGUCUGCAUGAGAAACUGCCGGGCUCGAGUAUGGGAGAGGUGAGUGGAAUUCCGGGUGUAGCGGUGGAAUGCGUAGAGAUCCGGAAGAACACCGGUGGCGAAGGCGGUCUGCUGGGCAGUUGCUGACACUGAGGCGCGACAGCGUGGGGAGCAAACAGG